AGCAGUAGGGAAUAUUGGGCAAUGGAGGCAACUCUGACCCAGCCAUGCCGCGUGCAGGAUGAAGGCGUUAUGCGUUGUAAACUGCUUUUAUAUAGGAAGAAAUAGACCUUGCGAGGUAAGUUGACGGUACUAUAUGAAUAAGCACCGGCUAACUCCGUGCCAGCAGCCGCGGUAAUACGGAGGGUGCAAGCGUUGUCCGGAUUUAUUGGGUUUAAAGGGUGCGUAGGCGGUUUAUUAAGUCAGUGGUGAAAGACGGUCGCUCAACGAUUGCAGUGCCAUUGAUACUGGUAGACUUGAGUGGGAUUGAGGUAGCUGGAAUGGAUAGUGUAGCGGUGAAAUGCAUAGAUAUUAUCCAGAACACCAAUUGCGUAGGCAAGUUACUAAGUCUCAACUGACGCUGAGG
rnacentral:rRNA from 1 species